GGAAUAUAAGAACCCGUCUCUUAACUUUUAACUAAAAAAGCUAAAGAACCGGUUCUUAAAUAAGAGUUUUAAGAACCGGUUCUUAACUUUUUUUAGUUAAAAUUUAAGAGACGGGUUCUUAUAUUCC
rfam:Brassica napus, WGS project CCCW01000000 data, contig: 21759